rnacentral:rRNA from 1 species
AUUGAACGCUGGCGGCAUGCUUUACACAUGCAAGUCGAACGGCAGCACGGGUGCUUGCAUCUGGUGGCGAGUGGCGAACGGGUGAGUAAUACAUCGGAACGUACCUGAUAGUGGGGGAUAACUAAGCGAAAGUUUAGCUAAUACCGCAUAAGCCCUGAGGGGGAAAGUGGGGGACCAGUAAUGGCCUCAUGCUAACAGAGCGGCCGAUGGCUGAUUAGCUGGUUGGUGAGGUAAAGGCUCACCAAGGCGACGAUCAGUAGCGGGUCUUAGAGGACGAUCCGCCACACUGGAACUGAGACACGGUCCAGACUCCUACGGGAGGCAGCAGUGGGGAAUCUUGGACAAUGGGCGCAAGCCUGAUCCAGCAAUGCCGCGUGGGUGAAGAAGGCCUUCGGGUUGUAAAGCCCUUUUGUUUGGGAGCAAAUCCUGCUGGCUAAUAACUGGCGGGGAUGAGAGUACCAAAAGAAUCAGCACCGGCUAACUACGUGCCAGCCGCCGCCGUAA